rnacentral:tRNA from 1 species
GCCGGUAUGGUCCAGUCUGGAGUGGACGCCGCCCUGUCACGGCGGAGAUCGCGGGUUCAAAUCCCGUUACUGGCGC